ensembl:snRNA U6 U6 spliceosomal RNA
GUGCUCACUUCAGCAGCACAUAUACUAAAAUCGGAACGAUACAGAGAAGAUUAGCAAGGAUGACACGCAAAUUCGUGAAGCGUUCCAUUUUUUU